rnacentral:rRNA from 1 species
GGUUCUAUGUCCGGCGAAAGGGAAUGGGGACUUUGUUCCUUGACCGGUCCCGGCACCCUCGAUAGGCUUUGCCAAUCAAUGGUCCAUGCAAAUGGAACCAGGCCACAGCCGCCGGCAGUCGCCCGAGGAAGAGUUUUCUUUUCUGCUUAACGCACGAGGUCAUCCCUGGAAACAGUUCGGCUGGCGAAAGGGUGCCCCGUUGCGGCAGAGCGCCACGACUGUCGUGCGCGUCUCGGUGUACCUGCCGGUCCGUGAAGACGUGGUCGAGGGGAGUCUAACCUUGUAUCAACGAAACGCCCGACAAGUUCGGGACGGACCGUACCCUAUAUCCGCAUCUGGUAUCCAAGGUUCGUAGCCUCUGCAGAGUCAGACACAUGUAGGUAAGGGAAGUCGGCAAACUCGAUCCGUAACUUCGGGAAAAGGAUUGGCUCUGAGGGCCGAGCUGGGCCGGGCCUUGCCUGCAAAGCAGUACCUAUAGUGACCGGAGUUUCAGGAGUGCGAGGGGCUCUAGUAGCUGUCAGCGUUCGCGCGGGCACGAACGAGUCCACCGCUCCGCUCCAACCACGAACGGCUGUGACGGCAAGGGCUCUGGGCGGGAGCGUUCAAACCGUCUACCCCCAGCGUGUCUGGGCCGGAGCCGGUGCUUCGUCUGACCCAUACGGCUCCAGCGGCUAGCGGCUAACUCAGAACUGUCAUGGACCAAGGGAAUCCGACUGUCUAAUUAAAACAAAGCGUCGCGACGGCCCC